rnacentral:misc_RNA from 1 species
UGGUUCUGGCAUCGAUGAAGAACGCAGCGAAAUGCGAUAAGUAAUGUGAAUUGCAGAAUUCAGUGAAUCAUCGAAUCUUUGAACGCACAUUGCGCCUGCCAGCAUUCUGGCAGGCAUGCCUGUUCGAGCGUCAUUUCAACCCUCAAGCCCCUCCAGGCUUGGUGUUGGGGACCGGCCCCGCUCCGGCGGCCGGCCCCGAAAUCUAGUGGCGGCCUCGCUGUAGCAUCCUCUGCGUAGUAGAAACACCUCGCACUGGGACGCGGCGCGGCCACGCCGUAAAAACAGACGAAUACUUCUGAAGGUUGACCUCGGAUCAGGUAGGAAUACCCGCUGA